UGCAUGGAGCACAUCAAUUGCUUGUCUGCUAAUUACGCAGGACUCCGUGAUGGUCACGUGAUGUCGCAUUGUGAACUUAACAGCGACAAAGGCGGUUCGCCAUGUCUAAUUUUUCGUGCGGGGACAUCCUAUUAUGAAUUGCUCAAAGAAAAGGUAUACUUUCCAUACGUGUGUCAUUAUUUAAUUUUAAUAGUUCACGAGGAAAAUACAAAAGAAAUGAAUGUUUAAUCAAUGUUUGUAAAUCGGAUAAAGAUUUGUCCUGAUUUAUAUAAACUUUAGCUUUGAUUUUCUUGGCUUAGACAAUGUUUAUUUUUAAAUUACUUCGCCAAUGGACUGAUAAGAUGGGUCAUUUUUUAAGUACGAUAAUUCGGCGAGAGUUUGUAUAUCAGAUACAGAUCGGCUGCUCAUGUUUCAUCUAGUACUUAAUUGUUUCCCGAAUUAAUAAUUCAUGAAGAAAACACAAAAGAAAUAUCAUGAGCGUGAAGGAGUUUGUAUAUCUGAUAAAAAAUCAUGCUGAUUUACAUAAAUUUUAAAUUAAAUUUUCUCACCAUAUAUUAUUUAUUUAUUUUAAAUUGUUGAGGAAUACGAAUAUUCCCAACAACACGUUUCACAGACCAUUUAGAAUAUUCGCGCCCAUAUCAGUGUAUCGGAUAUAGCGACACAGGCUACAGUACAGCAUCUCGUGUUGUACAUAGUGCAUGUACCGGGUGUCCCCCAAAAAAAUACUCCGGUUUGAUUCGUAAUAACUUCUUAACAAGUAAAGUUUUUAAAGAGAAAUAACUUGCAUCAAAUAGAGGAAUGACUAACUUAGAUUUUGAUAUAUUACAGUUGUAUUUCACUUAAAGUUCACGGAGAAAUUAAUGUUUAAAAUCGGAGCAUACAGGGUGUAUCAAAAAAAGCGCAACCUUGGAAUUUCCCAAGAAAUCGACAUUGUUUUAAAGACAAAAGAUUUUAGGCGCCUGGGAAUUUAAAAUAGCAUAACUGUCAAAAUUACUGCACACGCGAGUGCAUAAAGCAAAAUUUAUGCAUUUAUUUAAUGCACAACAACAGUAAUAUGAUCUAUUAGCAAUUCGAUUUCAAUUCCCAGGGGCCUAAAAUUUUUAUGCUUAAGAAUUGGAAAGUGUUUCUUAGGAAAUUCCGAGGUUGCGCUUUUUUUGAUACACCCUGUAUUUCUGGAUGUGUCUGAAAUAUGCAAAAAACGGCGUAUCAAAUAUUAAUCAACAUUUGCCCGAUUGAAACAUGCACUAUUGCCAGUAAAUAAAUGACACUUGACAAAUUGUUUAUUAUGAAACAAAGUAUUAUUAUUUACAAAGUACAAGCAAGAUUUAUUCGUUCGAAAUCUGCGUGUGUUCCUAGCACGAAUACGUUUCCUUAUUUCAUGAGACCACUGCAUCUCGAAAGAUCGUCAUGGAUAUGGUUCGUAUAGUUCUGAAUUAGGACAUGCUGUCACAAUGGAAUUGUGAAGCUCUUCUAACUUCUGCAAAGUUCUGAAAUCUUGUUAAGAACACUCAAACUCUUUUGCCUUUUCUUAAUCUUGUUAAGUUUAGAAUAAACUGACAAUGAAACACAAUCAAACCAUAUACAAUUCCAUAAGACAUAACAAGCAACUCCCCAGAGACAUCCAACAUUUUUGGAACAAAACGUAACAAAAUAAUAGCGUUGAUACUGUGAUGUGUAUUUGCAAAAAGCAAUAUUAUUUCCUUCAUUAAAGAAUAAUAUUCAUCCUGCUCUAACCGAGAAAUAAUCAACUCAGUUUUAAACCCAUGAGAAACAUAAAAAAAUUAGGCUAUUUAAAUUAAGAAAAAUUUAAGCGCCUGCCUUGCAUGGUCUUUCAUGUACCUUUAAGUUUGUAAAGACCUAUUAAAUACUUGCAUAAUUUCGAACGUUCAUAGUUCAGGAAACAAUGAGCUACGACUUACAUGAUAUGCAUGUUAAGAUGUCUAAAUCUAUAUGUCAUAUCCCUUACAAACCCUAACGACAAUUCGCUGAAAUACAAGUUAGCCUGAUAUGUCAUUAAGCAAACAAACGCUGGAGUUAAUAUUUGAUAUGCCGAUUUUUGCUAAUUUUAGAAACAUCCCAAAAUAUGCUUCCGAUUUUGAACGUUAAUAUCUCCGUGAAUUUUUAAGUAAAAUACAACUGUAAUAUAUCAAAAUCUAAGUUAGUCCUUCCUCUAUUUAAUGCAAGUUAUUUCUGUUUGAUAGCUUUACUUGUUUAGAAGUUAUUAUAAAUCAAACCGGAGUACUUUUUUUUGGGACACCCGGUAUAUGACACAAAGUUGUUCAAUAUAUUAAACAAAAGAGCUCUAGAAACUAUAUAUUGUUGCCUCUUGCAUACAGUAAACCUUUAUUUCCUUUUUCCAUUCUUUGAAAUAUCUAUUUUCCUUUAGUAAAACAAUAAGCCUGAGAUUCUUGUGAAUACAGGGCAGCAACGCGGCGACGACAGCUAUAAAGGUGGUCUUUCACUCUGAAAACAUUGGUUUUCAAAUUAAAGCUUUGGCAGGGCGUUGUGAAAACCCGGAAUGCCGGAAUAUCACGGAAUAUGCCGGAAUAUCACGGAAUAUGCCGGAAUAUCACGGAAUAUCACGACAUUUUUUCGGAAUAUACCGGAACAUCACAAUAUUUUCCGAUGGUAGCCAAUGCGACUGUUUAUAAACAUUGACGUCAGACAACAUAUUUUAUUACAAAAGUGAUGGAUCUUUCUCAUUUUGAAGGAAGUAACAAAGAAUAACUCUAUACUGGAAGUUUUAUAUGUUGUUUAUAUCAUUAUUAUUUCGAGUGUUCACCAAACAUUUUGAAUCAAUAUGAUUAAUUCCUCCUGAGUUAGGGACCGCUCAUUAUUUAUUAUACAGGGGGGGGGAUUGAGGAGAAACUGGCGGGCCUUUAAAUUUUUUAAAACCUGAAAGGGAGGGCUUUGAAAAAAUACAGAGAGACGAAAGAAGCGGGGCUUUGAAAAGAUUUAUCAGUUUUAAAAAACAUUAGUAGUUUUAAAAAUGUAUCACAAAACAACUUAACAACAAAUAACAAUGUUUAUAGACUUUAAUAUUCAUAAAUGGAAGCCAAAUAAAAAGUCUCUUAUGUUCAUGUAUUAAAACAGACAAUUCCCAUUAUAGACUAAUUUUAGAACCAGGCAAAGAGAUGCAAAUCAAGGCCAGAUUUUGGUGAAAAUAGAGGGGGAGGUGGAAAAAAGUUUUAGGGGAGGUGCAGCGGUCUACCUCGCAACCCCCAUGGAAAGUUGGGGCUUAUUGUAGAACAGGCCAAUUUCAACGAGGUGAGGUAUGCAUGUAGUGUACAUAUGUACCAGUGUAUUAACGAAUUAUGACUGUAUGGCUCUAAUCUCGCCCUUCAUUACAAUUGCUACAAAGUUUCUUUCAAAACAUUGCAUUAAAAGGGUACUUGACACAGAGAUGAAUGGCUAUCACUGUUUCAAUUUUACAGAGAAAACUUUCUUACGUCACGAAGUGUAGAUCCUAAGCAACCAUCACGUUUUCACUUUGUUCCAUCAUUGAAACUUUCCCAAGGGGAGGUGUAUGACCGCAAAAAUUCUCAGGGGAGGUGCAAAACGAUCUCAGGGGAGGUGCGCACCUCUCCACAUCUCCCCUCAAAAUCCGGCCUUGAUGCAAAUAAAUCACCACAGCUAGAAAGAGCAUACUAAAAUAACAUACGGAAAAUAUAGCCUUGCAAAGUUUGCAAAUUUUGUCUACUUUUGUAUUGCAUGCGAAAAUUGCAAUACAAAAGUAUACAAAAUUUGCAAACUUUGGAAGGCUAUAUUUUCUACAUUUUACUAAUUUUAGUAUACCCUUCCCGGGAAUAUACUUUUUUGCUAAGAUAAAAAAUUAGUCUAUAAUGAGAAUUGUCUAUUGGUCCCCAUUAUCUAUUUUUGUUUCACUAAAUAAAGAGCUAGAGAGUUUUUGUUUCUCUAAAUAAAGAUUAAAAGCUAGAGGGGGGAACCGAAAUUUAUGUUUUCGUCUUGCCUGUGUGGGGGGCUUUGAAAAUUUUACUUGUCUUAAGAGGGGGGCAACGAAAAAAUAUUAUAACUGUAGAGUUUCUCCUCAGUCUCCCCCUGUACAAUAAAUAAUGAGCAGUCCCUUACAGCGUCUUGAAAAACAAAAGUGCUGACAUCAGCAUUAUUUUCGAACGCCUUCACUCCCGGUGGAACUGUGUUAAGGCCCGUUUACACUUGCAAUUUUUGCUGCGAUUUCUACUGCAAUUUCCUCCUUCUAAUGCAUGUGAACAGUGAACGAGUAGAUGAGUUACAAAUGUUCGGAGUACAUGUACCCCCAUCUGAACAUUCAUAACUUAUCCAUUCGUUCACAUGCAUCAGAAGAAAAAAUCGCACCUAUAAAGACUAUAAAAAUUGCAGCUAAGUUUGCAAGUGUGAACGAGCCUUUUAUAUACAAAAUUUAGUUAAAAAUUAUUGGUUAAGAUUAAGACUGGACUUCUUACCUGAUAUAAACAACUUGCUCAAAGUUGCCUUAUAUAGCAUUUGAUUUUUGGAUAAAUGCUUGGUGGUAUAAAAUGAUCAAUUUUAACUAAAUUUUGUGUCAGUAACACAGUUCUGAAGACGCUGUAACUCAGGAGGUAUUAAUCAUAUUGAUUGAAAAUUUUUGGUGAACACUCGUAAUAGUGAUAUAAACAACAUAUAAAGUUAUUGUUUGUUACUUCCCGUCAAAAUGGGAAAGAUCCAUCACUUUUGUAAUAAAAUAUGUUGUCAGGUCCAUGUUUAUAAACAGUCGCAUCUACCAUAGGAAAAUAUUGUGAUGUUCCGGUAUAUUCCGGGAAAAUGUCGUGAUGUUUCGUGUUAUUCCGCCAUAUUCCGUGAUAUUCCGGCAUUCCGGGCUUUCACAACGCCCGCUUUUGGCAUCAUAUUUGAAUCAAGUGUAUUUAGUGUAAUCGAUUAUGAUCAGCAGACAAAGAAUCAGUAACUUUUUCAUUCGUCGUUGCCAUAGUAACUAAGAUAAUCCUUUUUAUAGGGUAAAAUGUAGGGUUUGCUCCAAAAAGGAUGUGAGCCAAACUAAAUUACUGAGAACUUUAGACACAGUUUGGACACCUAAUAGUAAUACAUUCAUCGAUGUCCUAAACCCAAAAUAUACAUAUAGGAAAUAGAAGAAGGCCUUUAUUUUUAUUUUUCAAAGAUAUAUGAAGAAAGUGAUUCAUAUAAGGGUUAACGUUCCUUUGCAAUGUAUAACGCUGAUAUAUAUUUGCUUAAGUUCAGUAUACAUAGGUAACAUGGCUCUGUUACUAAUCAAUAAACUCUGAAAAUUUCGAACGAAUUGAUUCAGUAUCAAAAAUAAAUUAAUUUUGUAGUAUUUCACCAAACGUUCAUUUGAGAAAAAGUUUAUUUGAUUUUAAAGUGUUUGCCUAUAUUAGAAUAACUUAUACAGAACAAUGCAAUUGAAAAGUAGAACAACAGAACAAACCAACCACAAACAUUUAUUAGCUCCGGGUAAAAUCAUGGAUUUACCCCAAAAAGGGGUUGACAUGAAUUUUCUAGACUGAGGUUUAGAGUGCAUUUUUGCGCUUAAAAUUAUUUGGAUGGUUAUAAAGGAUCCCAUAACGACUGCAUUUUAUUUUGUUUUUUUAAAUGAAAACAUACAAAUUUUCGAAAGAAUACCACCUUAAUUCUUUCUUUUAAUAAUUAACAAUUAUUCGCCGAAGGCGAGGUAAUUAUCGGGGAAUAUUGGCCGAGACGAAGUCGAGGUGAGGAGGGACUGUAACUGAAAACAGUUUGCAAAAUCAAUCCUAUGAAAACGAAUUUUGUUAUCGGUCGAUCAUAAAAAUUUCCCGAAUUUCUUGGCGUCUUGCGGAGUAGAACAAAAAACAAUUUGCCGAAUAACUAACGAGUGGGGGUGUUCCAUGAGGUCAUCCAAUCCAAUUUCAAGCGUCACGUCACCUAAGGACCAUUGUAAACCCCAUACAAAUAAAAACAUCGAAAUCCUAAAAACACCAGUGGUGGAAUAUUUCCGAUAAAACCAGCAUUGUUUUUGACUGUAGUUUACAUACACUGGCAUCUGUCUUGAAUUGAAAGCUCCUUGCGCUUGUAUUGCACUCGUGCUACAAUCAUUCAAGUAUAUUAAUUUUAUGCAUCAUUUUAUAGAAUGGAUCCUAUUCUCCAUGUUAUAACAACGGAAUUUUUGUUCAGGAAAGUUGUAAAUCAUUUUGCAAAUGUACUAUCCCAUACUCUGGAAAAUACUGCGAAG
rnacentral:lncRNA from 1 species